rnacentral:rRNA from 1 species
UUGAACGCUGGCGGCAUGCCUUACACAUGCAAGUCGAACGGCAGCACGGACUUCGGUCUGGUGGCGAGUGGCGAACGGGUGAGUAAUAUAUCGGAACAUACCCUAGAGUGGGGGAUAACGUAGCGAAAGUUACGCUAAUACCGCAUACGCACUAAGGUGGAAAGUGGGGGAUCGCAAGACCUCAUGCUCAUGGAGUGGCCGAUAUCUGAUUAGCUAGUUGGUGAGGUAAAGGCUCACCAAGGCGACGAUCAGUAGCUGGUUUGAGAGAACGACCAGCCACACUGGAACUGAGACACGGUCCAGACUCCUACGGGAGGCAGCAGUGGGGAAUUUUGGACAAUGGGCGCAAGCCUGAUCCAGCAAUGCCGCGUGAGUGAAGAAGGCCUUCGGGUUGUAAAGCUCUUUUGUCAGGGAAGAAACGGUUGUUCCUAAUACGGAUGACUAAUGACGGUACCUGAAGAAUAAGCACCGGCUAACUACGU